rnacentral:rRNA from 1 species
GAACGCUAGCUACAGGCUUAACACAUGCAAGUCGAGGGGCAGCAUGGACAUAGCUUGCUAUGUUGAUGGCGACCGGCGCACGGGUGCGUAACACGUAUCCAAUCUGCCCGUUACUCGGGGAUAGCCUUCUGAAAAGGAAGAUUAAUACCCGAUGGCAUGUAUUUCCGGCAUCGGAGAUACAUUAAAGAUUUAUCGGUAACGGAUGAGGAUGCGUACGAUUAGCUAGUUGGCGGGGUAACGGCCCACCAAGGCAACGAUCGUUAGGGGUUCUGAGAGGAAGGUCCCCCACACUGGAACUGAGACACGGUCCAGACUCCUACGGGAGGCAGCAGUGAGGAAUAUUGGUCAAUGGGCGAGAGCCUGAACCAGCCAAGUAGCGUGAAGGAUGACUGCCCUACGGGUUGUAAACUUCUUUUGUUUGGGAAUAAAAGACGCUACGUGUAGCGUUCUGCAUGUACCUUACGAAUAAGCAUCGGCUAAUUCCGUG